rnacentral:rRNA from 1 species
UACGGAGGGGGCUAGCGUUGUUCGGAAUUACUGGGCGUAAAGCGCACGUAGGCGGCUUUGUAAGUUAGAGGUGAAAGCCUGGGGCUCAACUCCAGAAUUGCCUUUAAGACUGCAUCGCUUGAACGUCGGAGAGGUGAGUGGAAUUCCGAGUGUAGAGGUGAAAUUCGUAGAUAUUCGGAAGAACACCGGUGGCGAAGGCGGCGAUCUGGACGAUGACUGACGCUGAGACGCGAAAGCGUGGGGAGCAAACAGG